rnacentral:lncRNA from 1 species
AUGUGGCCCCAACCCCGCCUCCCUCCCCACCCCACGAUGUCAGAAAACACACAACAGGGGAAAUUGGCUGCAGCCAAGAAAAAGUUAAAAGAAUAUUGGCAGAGGAAGAGCCCUGGCAUUCCAGAAGGAGCUAACAGGAAAAAGAAAAUCAAUGGCAGUAGCCCUGACACAGCCACUUCUGGUGGUUACCACUCACCUGGGGAUUCAGCAGCAGGUAUCUACAGGGAGGGCCCUGCAUCAUCUGCUACCCUGGAGGAUCUGGAGAGCCAGUACCAAGAACUAGCAGUAGCCCUGGAUUCAAGCUCCGCAAUAAUCAGUCAACUCAGUGAAAACAUCAAUUCACUGGUUCGCACAUCGAAGGAGGAGAAGAAGCAUGAGAUACAUCGAGUACAGAAGCUUGGGUUUACCAAAACCAGAUGGCUGAACCCCUGGCCCCAGAGCCCCCAGCAGGGCCCUCUGAGGUGGAGCAGCUACAAGAUGAGACCAACCACCUAAGGAAGGAGCUGGAGAGUGUGGGAAGACAGCUCCAGGCUGAGGUGGAAAACAAUCAGAUGUUGAGUCUCCUGAACAGGAGACAGAAGGAGAGGCUACGUGAACAGGAGGAGAGGCUACGUGAACAGGAGGAGAGGCUACAUGAACAGAAGGAGAGGCUAUGUGAACAGGAGGAGAGGCUAUGUGAAUAGGAGGAGAGGCUGUGUGAACAGGAAAAGCUGCCAGGGUAGGAGAGACUGCUGGAAGAGGUGGCGAAGCUGUUAGAACAGGAGAGGUGGCAAGAGGAGCAGGAGAGGCUGCUGGAGAGGGAGAGGCUGCUGGACAAGGUGGAGGAGCUGCUGGAACAGGAGAGGCUUUGGGAGCAGGAUGAGAGACUGUGGCAGCAGGAGACUCUGUGGGAGCUGGAGAGGAUGUGGGUGCUGGAGAGGAUGCUGGAGCUGGGUUGGGAAGCCCUCUAUGAGCAGAGGGCGGAGUCACACAGCGGCUUCAAGGAGCUGAACAAUGAGAACAAGAGCGCAAUGCAGUUGGAGGAACAAGUAAAGGAGCUGAAGAAGCCGGGUGAAGCUGAAGAGCCAAGAGGCUCCAAGUCUGCGGCAGCAGCAAGACCAGUACCUGUGUACCGCUCUAGGAGCCCUGAUCCCACAGGAGCUUGGGUGUGCGGACAAGCAGUGUGGACUCCCCAGGAGCACCCAGGCUUGGGUGGAGAAGCUGUUGGUACAGGAGAGGCUGCAGGAGGAGCAGGAGAUGCUGCAUGCCAUUCUUUUUGGGCUGCCGAGAACAGGGAGAUAAACAUCACCAUCAUCUAA